rnacentral:rRNA from 1 species
CUCGUAGGCGGCCAACUAAGUCAGACGUGAAAUCCCUCGGCUUAACCGGGGAACUGCGUCUGAUACUGGAUGGCUUGAGUUUGGGAGAGGGAUGCGGAAUUCCAGGUGUAGCGGUGAAAUGCGUAGAUAUCUGGAGGAACACCGGUGGCGAAGGCGGCAUCCUGGACCAAUACUGACGCUGAGGAGCGAAAGCCAGGGGAGCAAACGGGAUUAGAUACCCCGGUAGUCCUGGCCCUAAACGAUGAAUGCUUGGUGUGACGGGUAUCGAUCCCUGUCGUGCCGAAGCUAACGCAUUAAGCAUUCCGCCUGGGGAGUACGGUCGCAAGGCUAGAA